rnacentral:lncRNA from 1 species
GAUCCCAUCCAGCUGGUCGUCUUCCUGCCUGCCCUGUGCUGGAAGACGGGGGUGCCCCGCUGCGUUAUCAAGGGGAAGGCCGGGCCGAGGAGUCUGGCCCACAGAAAGAUCUGCACCACUGUCACCUUCACACAACUUAACUCAGAAGGUGAUGGAGCUCUGGCUAAGCUGGUGGAAGCCAUCAAGACCAAUUACAGGGACAGGAAGAUUAGCCUUGAGCUAACAUCUACUGCCAAUCCUCCUCUUUUUGCUAAGGAAGACUGGCCCUGAGCUAACAUCAGUCCCCAUCUUCCUCCACUUCCUCCACAGCAGGGCUUGACAAGCAGUGCCAUGUCCGCACCCGGGAUCCAAACUGAUGAACCACAGGCCACUGAAGCAGAAUGUGCGAACUCUCCUAUCAACAAAAGAGCAAAUCAUCCUCAGCCAAAAAAACAAAAGAAGAGGGCAAAAGAUCUGAGCAGAUAUUUUUCCAAAGAAGACAUACAGAUGGCCAACAAGCACAUGAGAAGAUGUUCAACGUCAUUAAUUAUUAGAAAAAUGUGAAUCAAAACUACAAUGAGAUAUCACUUCAUGCCCCUCAUAACGGCUAUAAUUACCAAUAUAGAAAUAACAAAUGUUGGAGAGUAUAUAGAGAAAAGGGAACUCUCAAACACUCAUACACUGCUGGUGGGAAUAUAAACUGGUGCAGCCACUGUGGAAAACAGCAUGGAGAUUCUUCCAGAAAUUAAUGACAGAACUACCAUAUGAUCUGGUUAUUCCACUGCUGGGUACUUAUCCAAAGAACAUGAGAAUAUGAAAGUGUAAAGAUAUAGGCACCCUACGUUCAUUGCAACAUUAUUCUCAACAGCUAAGAUUUGGAAACAACUUAGGUGCCCACCAAGGGAUGAAUGGAUAAAGAAGAUGUGGUGUAUAUAUAUAUAUAUAUAUAUAUAUAUAUAUAUAUAUAUACACACACACACACACAAUGAAGUACUACUCAGCUAUAAAAAAGAAAAAAUCUUGUCUGAGACAACAUGGAUAUAAUUUGAGGGUAUUAGGCUAAGUGAAAUAAGUCAGAUGGAGAAAGUCAAAUACCAUAUGAUCUCACUCAUAAAUAGAAGAAAAAAACAACAACAAUGACAAAAAAAACACAGAACAACAGAGAUUGAAAAGGUGGUUACCAGAUGGGUAACGGGAGGAAGGAAGGCAAAAGGAGUGACUGGGCACAUGUGUAGGGUGAUGGAUGGUAAUUAGUCUUUAUGUGGUAAACAUAAUAUAGUCUACACAGAAAAUGAAAUAAAAUGAUAUACACUUGAAAUUUAACUAAUGGUAUAGACUAAUGUUACCUCAACU